AAGUCGUAACAAGGUUUCCGUAGGUGAACCUGCGGAAGGAUCAUUAUUGAAUUCGCUAACAAAGCUGUUGCUGGCUCCUCUGGGGUAAUGUGCACGCUUUGUAAGUCAUUUCAACCACCUGUGAACCUUUUGUAGUCUUGGGAGAUUGCUAUGCUCAGAGGAAACUUUGGAUUUGAAUGAUGCGGGCUUGCAAAAGAGUCGGCUUCAUUCUAUUGCUUGAUCUCAAGUCUAUGCUUUUAUAUACACCAAUAGCAUGUCUAUGAAUGUGAUUCUAGGGCUUUAAUGCCUUUAAAAUCAAUACAACUUUCAGCAACGGAUCUCUUGGCUCUC
rnacentral:misc_RNA from 1 species